rnacentral:rRNA from 1 species
UACCCGCAGCCCUAGUGGUGAUCGUUAUUAUUGAGCCUAAAGCGUCCGUAGCCGGUCUAGUAAAUCCUUGGGUAAAUCGGGCAGCUUAACUGUCCGAAUUCCGAGGUGACUGCUAGACUUGGGACCGGGAGAGGUCAGAGGUACUCCAGGGGUAGGGGUGAAAUCCUGUAAUCCUUGGGGGACCACCAGUGGCGAAGGCGUCUGACUAGAACGGAUUCGACGGUAAGGGACGAAGCCCUGGGGCUCAAACCGGAUUAGAUACCCGGGUAGUCCAGGGUGUAAACGCUGCAGGUUUGGUGUUGGGGGUCCUACGAGGGCGCCCAGUGCCGGAGAGAAGUUGUUAAACCUGCCGCUUGGGGAGUACGCUCGCAAGAGUGAAACUUAAAGGAAUUGGCGGGGGAGCACAGCAACGGGAGGAGCGUGCGGUUC